rnacentral:rRNA from 1 species
UACGAGGGGAGCAAGCGUUGUUCGGAUUCAUUGGGCGUAAAGGGUGUGUAGGUGGCGCGCUAAGUCGGGUGUGAAAUUUCGGAGCUUAACUCCGAAACUGCAUUCGAUACUGGCGUGCUUGAGGACUGGAGAGGAGACUGGAAUUUACGGUGUAGCAGUGAAAUGCGUAGAUAUCGUAAGGAAGACCAGUGGCGAAGGCGGGUCUCUGGACAGUUCCUGACACUGAGACACGAAGGCCAGGGGAGCAAACGGG